rnacentral:rRNA from 14 species
AAAAAAAAAAAAAAAAAGGGGGAAAAAAAAAAAAAAAAAAAAAAAAAAAAGUUCAUCCAUGAAAACUGGGCAAUGGUGGUCAUCUUUUUCUCACCAG